AUUUAAGGGCUGAUUGUCUCUGGGGAAAGAUCUCUGGUUGGAGAUCCCUCUCUUGUGGAUUUUUCUCUGUGAGCCUCUAUCUUCAGAGACGGGUCAUGGUAGUUUAUAGACAAGCUGCAUCAGAGGAAAUGUGAAGAACUGGUAAGGAUUUGACCUGAUGCACAGAAGCUUUUUAGAAGUCCUGGUGUAUCCUCAGCUGCCUGAGUCAACGUGAGCUUUGUUCCUGACCUUGGUGAACUCAGGACUUCACUGUUGUGUACAUUUGCUGCCUAACAGGUGCUGUGGAGCAUGUGAAACCAAUCACUGGAAGCCACAUGGCUUGUUGUGUUUCAGCUGUGAAGCUGCUAAUGAACUACAUAAAAGUGUUAGAUGUUCCUAAUAUCUCCCUCCAAUCUAGAACUUCUCAGGGAAGUUGCUGUUGUUGCAGCAGAAAGCUAUGAGUCCUCACCAAGAAAUGUCAACCUUUGGCCACGAGGCAGUGUCUUCCCAUCUGCAGUACUUCUGAGGUAUCAUGACAUAGUGAAGAGAUUUUGACAGGUGACAGCACUACAGAGGAUUCCUUUCCAGUAAAGCUGGGAGGCCUUGGAAAACCUUUCAUUCAGGCUCAUACCCAUGUGGACAGAAGCAGACCUUAUUUCCACAAGGAAAUUAGCAGAGCUUUGCCACAUCAAACAGGAGACAUUCACAUCUCAAAGACAGCAGCUGCUAGGAAAUGCAUUCAUCUGUUCACCACAACUAGUUAUUCUCUAUGUGUUUUUAAUGAAUGUAAAUUUACCUGUGCCUGACCAAGGGAUGGUAGUAUGCAGGUGGUGAUUAUGGGGCAAUUAACAUAACCUGCUUUCUAUUAUCUGUGUCCUUGAAUUUCCUUAUCUGCAUCUGGACAGCAAUGGUUACUCUCGCCCUUUCCUUCCUCCAGUAUUUUUUAAUAAAUUCAUGCUGCUUUUU
rnacentral:lncRNA from 7 species